rnacentral:lncRNA from 1 species
UGAUUUGGAUUUUGUGGGAGUCUAUUUAACAUAACCAAGGAAAAUAUGUAAGUAAAAUUUUAAGCAUAAAUUUUAAACUUUGAAUAUCAGUAUCCAAAGGAUAAGGGUGGUGCAUAUUUAUAUCAUUCGCAAACCAAGUGUGCAUUACAUGCUCAAGAUGCAAGCAUAAAAAUUACAAAUGUACAAGGAGCCUCAAGGGCAUGACCGCAAGUAAACAAUACAACAACAUAAAAAACUGCAACUUCUUGGAAACCUUCGGCAGAACAAAAUGCUGACUUGUUUUCAUCUAUUUCAUAUGUAAAAAAGGAACCUAACGACCUUUCUAUUGAGCAGCAACAUAGGCAUCAUUUAUCUAAAUAGGCAUCACCAAGUAUUCAUUGAUUCUAAUACGACACUUGCAUAACGGAUUCAAUGCGGCACUCAACAAAAUUCAGCAGCAUACCUUCUAAUUUACCAUUAGCAGUUAGCAAUGAGAACACUUGUAGUUGACAUCAGCAGUUUUAAUUUGCUUCCAGUAUGAAGUUUAGUACCGAAUACUCCGCAAGUAGCAAGCAUCACGACAUACAAACGCGGCAUAAUGGCAUGGGCAUAAGUUGCAGCCACUGCAACAUGCACAGGCCUCCAAAGCUGCAGCAAACACACUGCAUAACACACGGCGAAACAGCAAUCAGUCAGCAACAUGAGUAAUACAAACCAGGGCAAAUGGUAGCUUACAAAACAGAGCCUGCAAUACAAGCUCGGAACCGCAACAUCGAAGCUGCAAUGCUGCCGAAACAAACGGCAAUGCCGGUAAAUGGAAGUACGCAAUUCGAACGCAGAAAGCUGAACCAAAAUGCCAUACGGAAAACGCAACCGAACCGUAACACCAUCCGGCAAACGCACUACAACCAGCAAAAUUCACCUGCAAAAACCAUAAACAGAAACCAAAAAGAAAAAUCAGAUAGAAAAACUUCCUCCAACAAACUGCUAACCAACUUCUCACGUUCAUAACAUAUUGAAAGCUUAUAAAUACUAACCGGUAUUCCACAAUUAGGGGGAUCCAUUUUUUCACAGAAUCAUCAACAACAGAAAAAUCACGAUAGGAAGUUUCAUUCAGGAAAAUUUCAAUCACAUACAGAAACCUGCUAACAGAAUUGACAGUAAUACAUAACAAUAACAAUCAAACUAACAUAUUAACAUAACUAAGAUCCUGCAGCAACUGAACUAUUUUAGCUCUUUAACAUUCAUCACUAACUUCUAAUCCAAUAGCUCAUUGAUAACUAACUAACAUCACUAACUGAAUUCAAAUCCUAUAACUAACUUGACAAAAUAGAGAACAAUGAGCAUCUGGCCCUCGACCUAUGGGCUUGUUAGCUGAUCAAUGUUUAACUACUAGCAGAAUAGAGAACAAUGAGCAUUUCACCUUUUCACGUUAUUACAAGCUCAUCUAGUAUUUUAAUAUUAAAUUAGUAUACUUUGACAAGUUGUAAAUGGN